ACGGCAGUUCGAGUUCAGCGUG
rnacentral:miRNA from 1 species